CCCCUAAACUGGGAUUAGAUACCCCACUAUGCCUAGCCCUAAACAUUGGUAUUACACCCACACACCAUGCCCGCCCGGGUACUACGAGCACCAGCUUAAAACCCAAAGGACUUGGCGGUGCUUUAGACCCCCCUAGAGGAGCCUGUUCUAGAACCGAUAACCCCCGUUCAACCUCACCCUUUCUUGUUUAUUCCGCCUAUAUACCGCCGUCGUCAGCUUACCCUGUGAAGGGCCGAUAGUAAGCACAAGUGGCACAACCCAAAACGUCAGGUCGAGGUGUAGCGUAUGGAAGGGGAAGAAAUGGGCUACAUUCCCUAUCCAAGGGAAUAACGAAUGACGCACUGAAACACGCGUCUGAAGGAGGAUUUAGUAGUAAGUGAAAAAUAGCAUGUUUCACUGAAACUGGCCCUGAAGCGC
rnacentral:rRNA from 1 species